CAAGCCCUGUCCAUUUCCCUUUCCCUCUUCCCUUUGAUACCCCAGCCGCCAUGGCCCCGUGGUUUUAAUCUCUCUACGUCAUUGUCCCAAUUUGGUAAUGGCGCAGUAUGAUUUUACUCUUAUACAGUGUUGUUCGACCAUUUUGAGGUAACAAAAUUAAUGUAUUACUCUCUCCCCGUCGAUACACUACCAAAACAAAGUAUUAUCACGAUUUUCUCUUGCUUUUUUGUGUUGUUCAAAUGGUCAACUCUAUUCAAACCUUAAUGGGUUUUGUUUGUAUUGGUUAGAAAUCAUGAAAUUUGAUUGGUUCUUGCGCGAACCCUACGGAUUAGUCUUAUUGUCAAAAUCUGGCCUUUGGUGUUUUAUUCGAUGUAAUGCCGACACUACAAUAUCGAAUUGUGAGGAGAAAAUCCCAUUUUUGGGAUUUAUCCCAUAUCUUUGAAUCUAGGGUUUGGGGAUUGCUAUCUAAUGAGUCUCCUAUUUGCAUUUUUUGGAAGAGGAGGUGAAUCUGAGAUUUUACUUGGUAUUGCCUAUAACUCGAAAAAACAUAAGGUUUCAAACAUCUAUUGAGACUUCUAAAUUUUUCUGAGUGAAGUUAGUUUUAAAUUUUUUUGUAUCUUUCUUUGUUCUUUGGGGUUUGUGGCUGAGUAAGAGAGGAAGGAUUAUAAAAACUCCAAGUCUAACACUCUACUAAGGAUGCAUUCAAAAGAGGCCCUUCUGGCCAUCUCUUGCAUCAAGAUUGUUGUGUCUAAGGUCCAACAUUUCUCUCUUUGAUUGAGUCCGCUAAAGAAUGGAAAGAGAAGCAAAUAUCCGUGUUAGAAGACCUAGCCAAUUGGUGAAAAUGACAUUAAUGGGCUAGCUUUUGUUUUUCUCCUCUCUAUUUUAUAUGUACUUGGGAUGUAUAUAUGUUGUAUAUGUACUAAACAUGUAAAUAAUGAAAUGCUCAUGCAUAGGACUUAGGAAACGCAUAGUAUUUUUGGAAUGUCGCCUCAAACAUCUUUAAACUUAAUCAUUUUUUUUGAAAA